GAUCUUCCAGCACAGCUGACAGGUGGACUCCUGGUACCUGGUUCUGUCCAUCCCUCAGCCUGAAGCUUUCUGAGUUUUUCCUGGUCCAGUCUGAAAAGUGAACACGCUGGAAAUAAGCCCUAAAGCCAGAUGAGAGUCCCCCCAGGGCCUCUUCUAUAGAAGACAUGUCUGGAAUACCUUACCAGGGCGUCCAGGAUGCAGCCAAAAUUGAUGUCCAAAUCCCAUUAACUGGCCUCCCUCCGUGUUCUCAAUGCACUUUUACCUUAAGCUCCCCACCAAGCUCCUCAUUUCUUAUUUACUUCCUGGUUUCUUUUCUCAU